UUCUUUUUUUAAAUAUCAUUUUCUUUCUCUCCCAUAUUUAUCUGAAUCUAAAUCAAAACCAGUGUCUGGUGUUUUUAAUCGAUUUUUCUCUUCUAGCCGUUGGAAUUUCUUUCUUUUCUUAAAAAGCAAGUAGAUAUAUCUAAAAAAAACUUUAAAUUGAAGCUUAUAAAGACCUCUAAUUUUUUAAUAUCUAUCAUUUUAUUGGUGGAAGGAAAUCAAUUCCAAGCAAAGCAUGACUCUUCGCUCGUCUCUGGCAUGCUAAAAAUUCUAGCCAUAAACCGGCUUCAGGUGAGUUCGGCUGGAUUGUGGGUUUAUGGUUGGAGACGGUGGAUUGGAAGGGAUCAAAGGAAACGACGAUGAUGGUUAGGUUUGGUAUUUAGGGUAAGAAGGUGGAUGGAAGAAGAUGAUUAGGGUUUUUUUGUUGGAUGAUAAAUUUAUAACAUUUAGGUUUUUUAUUUCAUGAUAAAUUUGUAAUAUUUAAUUUAAUAGCUAUUUAGUGUUUAGAUAAAAAAAUAAUGACAGUCAUGUAAAUAAUUAAAUAUUUUUUAUUAACU